GCCGGGGUAGCUCAGAUGGUUAGAGCGCUGGAUUGUGGAUCCAGAGGUCCUGAGUUCAAUUCUCAGCCCCGGUACCA
rnacentral:tRNA from 1 species